GUCUUGGAAUACGAAUACAAUGUGUUGAACAGGAGAUAAGGAGAAUGAAGAUCGAAUGGAAGACACAUAAUGGCAUCAUGGUAUCUGUUGAUGUGUAAAAGUAAUGCCUGGCAUCUAAAAAUGGUUUCACUGCAGACAGAUUUACAGUAACACAGUGACUCAAAUAUCAUGAUACUUUGCCUGAUAUGUCACAUAAACAAAGAUGCUGGAGUGAAUCUUGUCCAGUGAAACCCAGAAAACUUCCCAAUGUCUUAUUUUAACUACAUCAAGAGGAAUUUACUGUGUCCACUGUCAUUGUGGUGUGUGUGUGUGUGUGUGUGUGUGUGUGUGUGUGUGUGUGUGUGUGUGUGUGUGUGUGUGUGUGUGUGUGUGUGUGUGUGUGUGUGUGUGUGUGUGUGUGUGUGUGUUGACUCUUCUACUGUAGAAAAACAGAAAAAGUGGAAAAAAGCUACAUUUUUUGAGAAAACUAGGACAGCAUCUUAAGAGACCCAUUAUAUUGUCAUUUAAAAACAAAUGAUAAAUAUAAUUUGCUAAUUUGAUCAGUCCUUUAUUGAGGAAAACUGGCGUGGAGGUUCAGAUACACACAUCUGGAUGACAAAAAAGAUAUUUAAAUGAUUUUCUAGUGCAGAUCUUUGCCUGUAUUUACUCAUGCCAUGCUAUAGAAGUGAGCAUAUCAUCCCUGCUGUAUUUUUACUGCUCAUCUCUCAGCAGGUGUUGGAAGAGGUUUAAUGGAAGCUAUUUACUGGCACCGCACCAGCCAGCAACAGGAGGGAGACUCAGCUGCUGCAUUAUUGGAGACGUUCAAGAAUGAAUCCCAUUCGACGUGCGAAGCCUCCUCCACCUCCGUCAUGGAGCCCCCAGCUCCCCUGCCUCCUCUCCACCACCAGCUUCAGCACCAGUACCAGCUCGGACACUGACACUGUCAACAUCAACCUCCAGCACGUCACAGCAACUUCUUAUCACUGGCAAGAGGAAAAGGUGCAACAGAAAAUUGGACCUUCCAAGCGUCCUUGUGGAGAUGCAGGCUGAGGAGGAGUGGAGUCAUUCCCAGCAUGAUGAGAACAUCUGGUUGCUCCUCAGCAAGGCAAGAGAGAAUGAAGCAGCCUUGCAGUGGAGGAGAUGGUCCAGAAUGCUGCCUUCAACCAGUCAUUCCUGGGUGUGCUGGGGCAGCUGGUGCAGGCAGUGCUGGGUGUACUGGGGCAGCUGGUGCAGGCAGUGCUGGGUGUGCUGGGGCAGCUGGUGCAGGCAGUGCUGGGUGUACUGGGGCAGCUGGGGCAGGCAGUGGGCAGCCAGAGUCCACCUCCCAGAGACUUGAGAUUUAGUUGUAUAUAGUUUUACUUUUAGCCCUCCACUGUAGGACAGGCCCACCACAGUUUGUACUUUGCACAUUGUAAAUAGUUUUGAUUUUGCUGCUGACUAAUAAACUAUUUUGUGACUUAUGUGA